rnacentral:lncRNA from 1 species
UGAACUUAACCAGUCAGGGAUGGGCAAUGUGAGCUUCUUAUUCUUUCUGCUACAGCCUUCUGGAUGUUUGCUGUAGAAGUGGGGUAUUCACUGAUGUUUAGCUCAGUAAGAGAAAAAGAUGCAGUCUCCACUAAGCCCCUGAGUUAGCCACUUCCAUAAGGGGCCAGUGGGAAUAAAUCGUCGAAGGCUGUAAUUACAUUGAAAUCCAUGAUUAACACUGGAUUUCUUAAAGCCAUACUAGCCAUGAUGGACAGGAUACAGGCUUAGUUGGGGAACUGGUCAACAGUAGGGUACCAAAAGCAAUGGGAUAAACUUGUCUGCCUUGCAGCUCUGCAUCUGCUGGCCUUCGGGGUUAACCACAAUGAAAACCACACUUUAAAAAUGGUCCCCACUGCAGCUGACUGUGAGGAGAGACACCCCCCAUUAUAGAACAUCUCUGGUGUGGAGCAUUGUCAUGUCUCCCCGCUUUUCUUGUCCUUUCCCUGAGACCUUUCACUUCCCAGAGGGGUGGUACAUAUAAUGUAGUACUUUACUAUUUAAUAUAAAACACAUUCCAGUAGGACUUCAUCUGCCUGUAUUGUGUUCCUAGAAGUAUAUUUAGAAUUUUAAGCUGUUCCAACCAUUACACAUUUUGCCAAAUUUUAGUCACUGAGGGAGUUGUGUUUAAACAUCUGUUGACUGCAGAUGUUAAGCAGUGUGAAAUAUUCUUUUAAGAUGCCAAAAUGUAAUUAAAAUCAUAAUAUUUUUCUUAGUAACACAUCAUGCUACAUCAAUGGAGAUUCAGGAAGAUAAAACUCAAUGAACAAUGGAUGGUAAUAAUUCUUCGAACAAAUCAGCUGGGAGCCACAACAGGGGAGAAUUAACUUUUAACUACAUGAGGUUAACUUAUCAAUGCCAAUUUGCCCAGCUCUUGAAGGGCUAUUUUUUUUUUUUUUUUCAAACCAGGCAGUGGUUAGGUGGAGUAAAACAUAAGAAAGGUCAUCUUCUUUUGGCUCAGAGGAUGAAGAUAUUUGGGUAACAAACUCUCUGCCUUAGGUUUGGCUGGGCCACUAAUUCAGAAGAUGUCAGUGUUAAAAACAUUGAAAUGCUAGCUCUUCUCUUGAAUGCAGAUGCUGAUGUGUGUACCUGGGCUCUGAUUCAGAGGAAGAUGUGUGGAACAUGGCCUGGACAUGCCUCCACCUGGGGGAUCAUCCCCACCCCAAACAGUGGAAGAAAAACAUCACACAGGCAAAGAGGAUCCUUCUUCUGUACUUCUAAGGACCUGAAGCUUCCUUGUUUGGGCUGCUGGGUGGGGAGUUAGAAGGAGAAACCUUUCUCUUUAGUGUUAAUUAAGCAGUAUCAAGAGAUCUCACUGUUCCAAAGAACACUCUCUUUUAUCUGAAAUUCAAUGGCUAGAGUUUUUCUUUAGGCUUAAAACCUUGAAAGCUCCAUCAUGUUCCUGAGUAGAACAAUGAAGCCAUUAGUCGUCAAGGCUUUUCUUCAAUUUCUUUUUUUCCAUUUCAAUUUUGGGUCUAAUUUUAUCUGCUUCCUAAGAAUAAGUUUCAUCUUUGUAUGAGUACUGGGCCUACCCAUGUCAUUGGUUCAAACAUCUUAGUUGGUUGAUGAAAUUGGUCAAAAAAUCAGUUAAAAUUCUUUUUGGGGCAAAAGUGAAUUUGUCAAAUGGGGCAAUUCACUAUUUCUUAAAUCCAUCAUUGACUGAUUGAGCCUCUGUUAUGUACCAAGCUCUACGCUUGUUCCUGGGGCAACAGAGGUGAACAUCCGUAAGUCCUGUUUCUUGCACCCUAUCAGUCUGAUGGGGACCACGGCAUAUAACCAGACCAUUGUUGUGCAAUGCAGUGUGGGAAGUGAUGGGGGAGGUACGUAUAGGGUGCUUUUGCGCACAGAACCACAACCAACCUCAUCCUGGCAGUGUAUUGAUGACUAUGUCCUUGAGUUUCCAAGUAUAUUGGAAAGAUAUAAUGAGGAGGUACAUCAUUAGUAGAGAGUGUAAAAAGUUCUGCUAUGUUUCUACUCCUGGGCCAGGUAUUUGGAUUGGGGAUGAGUGUUGGAGAAGAGAAGACAAGAAGUUGGAAAGCAAGCAAACAUCAUGUCAGCCAUCAGAGUUCACAAUGUAAUUGCCAGAAAUAAGGUAGAAGUGGGGGAGAUCACAACAAUCUACAAAUUUGUGAAUAUAAGCAUCAAGUUGUGUGGCCACACAGUGACAUGGGUGAAGAGAAAAAGGAAAGAGUGAUCCAGGGUGGAAUCAUCUCAGAAAGGUCUUCCAAGAGGAGACAUGUAUGAGUCGCACGGGAGGACUGGAGUUCCCAUUGUAGCUCAUUGGGUUAAGAACCGGACAUAGUGUCUGAGAGGUUGUGUGUUCAAUACUUGGCCUUGCUCAGGGGGUUAAGGAUCCAGCAUUGCCGGAAGCUGCAGCAUAGAUGACAGAUGUGGCUUGGAUCCCAUGUUGCUGUGGCUGUGCUGUAGGCUGGCAGCUGUAGCUCCAUUUCGGCCCCUAGCCUGGGAACAUCCAUACUAUGG